AACGCGAAGAACCUUACCAGGGCUUGACAUCCUACUAAUCCUGUAGAGAUACGGGAGUGCCUUCGGGAAAGUAGAGACAGGUGGUGCAUGGUUGUCGUCAGCUCGUGUCGUGAGAUGUUGGGUUAAGUCCCGCAACGAGCGCAACCCUUAUUGUUAGUUGCCAUCAUUCAGUUGGGCACUCUAGCGAGACUGCCGGUGACAAAUCGGAGGAAGGUGGGGACGACGUCAAGUCAUCAUGCCCCUUAUGUCCUGGGCUACACACGUACUACAAUGGCUGGACACAGAGGGAAGCGAGGGAGCGAUCCGGAGCAAAUCUCAAAAAGCAGCCCCAGUUCGGACUGCAGGCUGAAACCCGCCUGCACGAAGUUGGAAUUGCUAGUAAUCGCGAAUCAGAAUGUCGCGGUGAAUACGUUCCCGGGUCUUGUACACACGC
rnacentral:rRNA from 1 species